AUUUCAAUGCAAUGUAAGUCGCUUUGGAUAAAAGCGUCAGCUAAAUGACAUGUA
rfam:Gasterosteus aculeatus cont1.007545, whole genome shotgun sequence.